rnacentral:rRNA from 1 species
GACGAACGCUGGCGGCGUGCUUAACACAUGCAAGUCGAACGGAAAGGCCCUGCUUUUGUGGGGUGCUCGAGUGGCGAACGGGUGAGUAACACGUGAGUAACCUGCCCUUGACUUUGGGAUAACUUCAGGAAACUGGGGCUAAUACCGGAUAGGAGCUCCUGCUGCAUGGUGGGGGUUGGAAAGUUUCGACGGUUGGGGAUGGACUCGCGGCUUAUCAGCUUGUUGGUGGGGUAGUGGCUUACCAAGGCUUUGACGGGUAGCCGGCCUGAGAGGGUGACCGGCCACAGCGGGACUGAGAUACCGCACAGACGCCUACGGGAGUCAGCAUUGGGGAGAAUUGGACAAUGGGCGGGAGCCUGAUGCAGCAACGGUGCGUGCGGGAUGACGGACUUCGGGAGUUAAAGCGCUUGCGCCGGUGACGAGGCAUGAGUGACGGUAAUCGGUAAAGAAGCACCGGCUAACUACGUG